CCUACCCUUAAUACUGCAUUUAAACCUGCAACCCACAAGCCCAAUCCCAUCUGAUCUUGGAAGCUAAGCAGGGUCAGGCCUGGUUAGUACUUGAAUGGGAGACCACUUAGGAAGACUGAGUGCUGUAGGC
rnacentral:rRNA from 1 species